AGGAAAAAGGAACCAACAGGGAUUGCCUCAGUAACGGCGAGUGAAGCGGCAAAAGCUCAAAUUUGAAAUCUAGCACCUUCGGUGUUCGAGUUGUAAUUUGAAGAUGGUAACCUUGGGUUUGGCUCUUGUCUAUGUUCCUUGGAACAGGACGUCAUAGAGGGUGAGAAUCCCGUCUGAUGAGAUGCCCAUUCCUAUGUAAGGUGCUAUCGAAGAGUCGAGUUGUUUGGGAAUGCAGCUCUAAGUGGGUGGUAAAUUCCAUCUAAAGCUAAAUAUUGGCGAGAGACCGAUAGCGAACAAGUACAGUGAUGGAAAGAUGAAAAGAACUUUGAAAAGAGAGUGAAAAAGUACGUGAAAUUGUUGAAAGGGAAGGGCAUUAGAUCAGACUUGGUGUUUUACGAUUAUCUUCUCUUCUUGAGUUGUGCACUCGUAUUUCACUGGGCCAGCAUCGAUUCGGAUGGCAAGAUAAUGGCAGUUGAAUGUGGCUUCACUUCGGUGGAGUGUUAUAGCUUCUGCUGAUAUUGCCUGUCUGGAUCGAGGGCUGCGUCUUUUGACUAGGAUGCUGGCGUAAUGAUCUAAUGCCGCCCGUU
rnacentral:rRNA from 1 species